GAUGAACGCUGGCGGCGUGCCUAAUACAUGCAAGUCGAACGCAUAGCGAAAGGUGCUUGCACCUUUCAAGUGAGUGGCGAACGGGUGAGUAACACGUGGACAACCUGCCUCAAGGCUGGGGAUAACAUUUGGAAACAGAUGCUAAUACCGAAUAAAACUUAGUGUCGCAUGACACAAAGUUAAAAGGCGCUUCGGCGUCACCUAGAGAUGGAUCCGCGGUGCAUUAGUUAGUUGGUGGGGUAAAGGCCUACCAAGACAAUGAUGCAUAGCCGAGUUGAGAGACUGAUCGGCCACAUUGGGACUGAGACACGGCCCAAACUCCUACGGGAGGCUGCAGUAGGGAAUCUUCCACAAUGGGCGAAAGCCUGAUGGAGCAACGCCGCGUGUGUGAUGAAGGCUUUCGGGUCGUAAAGCACUGUUGUACGGGAAGAACAGCUAGAAUAGGAAAUGAUUUUAGUUUGACGGUACCAUACCAGAAAGGGACGGCUAAAUACGUG
rnacentral:rRNA from 1 species